AGCGAACGCUGGCGGCAGGCUUAACACAUGCAAGUCGAGCGGGCACCUUUCGGGGUGUCAGCGGCGGACGGGUGAGUAACGCGUGGGAACGUGCCCUCUGGUUCGGAAUAACUCAGGGAAACUUGAGCUAAUACCGGAUACGCCCUUUUGGGGAAAGGCUUGCUGCCGGAGGAUCAGCCCGCGUCUGAUUAGCUAGUUGGUGAGGUAACGGCUCACCAAGGCGACGAUCAGUAGCUGGUCUGAGAGGAUGAUCAGCCACACUGGGACUGAGACACGGCCCAGACUCCUACGGGAGGCAGCAGUGGGGAAUAUUGGACAAUGGGCGCAAGCCUGAUCCAGCCAUGCCGCGUGAGUGAUGAAGGCCUUAGGGUUGUAAAGCUCUUUUAUCCGGGACGAUAAUGACGGUACCGGAGGAAUAAGCCCCGGCUAACUUCGUG
rnacentral:rRNA from 1 species